rnacentral:rRNA from 1 species
UACGGGGGGAGCAAGCGUUGUUCGGAAUCACUGGGCGUAAAGGGAGUCUAGGCGGUUUGGUAAGUGGGAUGUGAAAUCCCCGGGCUCACCCCGGGACCUGCAUCCCAAACUGCUGAGCUUGAGUACAGGAGAGGGUGGGGGAAUUCCAGGUGUAGCGGUGAAAUGCGUAGAUAUCUGGAGGAACACCGGUGGCGAAGGCGCCCACCCGGCCUGCUACUGACGCUGAGGCACGAAAGCGUGGGGAGCAAACAGG